GGGAGCCGCCAUUUUUCAGACGUUGGAUAACGGUAAAAGACAAACACUAUCUUGGUCAAUGUCAAGUUUGUGAACAGAAAUUCAUCAGCAUUUCCGAAGUCACAGUGAAAACCUUGGAGUUGGAAAAUGCCACCACGCUAUGUUCCAGACAUGUGUGCAAGAGGAAUCAUCAAUUUCUGUCCGUACCUGAGGAAUCCCCACACUACACUAAACAUGGCUUUGUAAGUUGAUAAUUUGGUUAUUAUUUCCCCUAGUUGUUAGGGAGCCUUAUUAUCAGAGGGGAACUUGUUCAAGUCCUGCCCUUUCCAGUAGGAAAGAAUGUGUUUGCCUGCGCAUUCAAGCCAUGGCUGAAGUGCCUUUCAG